CGCCGUCACCAAGAAACCCUAGCUAGGGUUUUCUUCUUCCCCUUCCACGCAGCGCCGUCGCCCCGUUCCUUCGGCCGCGGACGCUACUCGACGCGCCGCCGUCUUCGGCCGAACGGCGACAAACCGACCGCGUCACCCGAACCGCAACGUUGUCUACUUCGUCCACGCGCAAGCAAUUGGAGCGAGAUCGACUACACCCACGCCCACUUCAUCUUCUUCGACUCCGGCCGCCGCCGCUUCUCCGGCCAAAUUCCGGCGAGCCCGUCCACCAAUCCCCGUCAGCUUCCUCCUGGAGACUCAGGGUGAGCUCCUCUUCCUCCCUCUAUUUUCCGCGCUUAGUUUGGUGCGUCUUGUCGCCGUAGCCAAGAGCGCGCGCUCCGCCGUGCGCCGGUGAACUUCGGCUCGUCGCUGCGCGUCUCCCCAAGCGUGUUGUGGUGGUCUUCGUGCCACUUAGUGUAUUUCUGCGCGCCGCUUCCAUUUUCCGCGCCAGAUAGCCUUCGCCGUGCCGCGUGGUCGCCGCCGGCGAGCUCUGCCAUGGCCGCCGCGCGCGCCCGCUAGCUGCCGGUUUGCGCCAGGUUAAAACGAUGUGCGCCCUACCUCUGUUGAGAUCCGACCGCUGUCCCAACUGGCUAGCUCACUCGUCUGUUCGCUCGACACCGACCCGACCCGGGUUCGAUCUCCCGUGGCAGCAGGGGUAAAAACCCCAAAUUUUUGUGCUUUGAACAGGCGACUGACAGGUGGGCCCGGUGGACCGAGUCCAUGCGCCGGAUCUGAGUGGAUUUCUUUUGGGUUUUGUUUAAGUGCAUAGAGUUGAGUUAAUCUUGUUUAAAUCCUAGAAAAUGCAUGCUAUAUCCAAUUUGAGCAAACCAUAUAUGUUUUGAAAUCAGAAAAAUGCAAGGAAUUUAACUGUGCAAUUAGAAUUAUAUUUUGAGGUUUCAAAUUUCAAAGCUGUCCCAGAUUUGAAAUUCAAAAGUAUGAACUUGAUUAGUCUCUAGUUUAAAAUGGGUAACUCUUUGUGAUUGUUGUAGACAUCAAAGUUGAUCGUUGUGACUUGUAGAACACAGUAACAUACCUAGUUAGGCCAUUUGUGUAUUUUAAAACUGCUGUCUACCAUGUUCUAAUCACCUAAUGGUUAACUUUGUUGCUCAAGGGAAUCGGGUCACUUGCAUAUUGUCGCAUCAUGUUGUCACAUGCCAUCUCAUGUUGUAUUGUACAUUGCACCUAUGAAUGAUUACUUAUUUGCGUAUUGUGUGAUUUGGUUCUUUACGAUAGCGACUCCGACUUACUCCGUCGACGAUCCGGGUUCCCUCACUUCUUCGGAUCCCCUUUCUCGGUGCCCAGCGACCGAGAAUCCAGGCAAGCAGCCAAUCCUUGAACAUGUUGAUUAUACCCAAUGCCUCUCUCUCAUUCUUGCAUUAAGUUGCGUUCUCGGUUCUUGUCACGAUGCCUCUCGAAUUGCAUAGCUUUAGUCAGCUCUACUCAAAUGCCUGUUGUCUUGUUCCUUAUCCUAUUACCACGUCACAUGUUUGUUAUUGCCCUACUUGGUCAUUAGAAGUCUGCCUAGAUUGCUAGUCUAGUGUCCUUAUCUGGGGUUCCACAAUUGCUACGUCCACAUGCUACUUUUCCAUAUUUAAUUGCAAUUAUUAAACUUUACCUGCACAAGGCAACGAUGGGAGGCCGUGUUAACGCAUUGGUGUUUUGUUCCAUUGGCGCCGACCUAAGGACUGAGUUCUCGUUUUCGCCGACCUAAGAAACUUCGCGCUAACCGCUCGUGGGAGAAUAUAUGGGUUCCCCCUCGGCUUAGUACUCGUUUCAUAGCUCUUCCAGGGGCCACAUAGUUCGGGCGUUCCAUUUGACAUAUCGCAUAUACACUGGUGUUGUGUUUGGAGACUUGUUGGUGACUUUGCAUUCAUAUAGGAUUGUAGCACUAGUCUGGAGUGGUCAUUCUGCGGACACUGAACCACUACCAGCUGUCCUCGCAACUCUUGAGUCCGUACGACGCUUCGGCCGGGCUUUCGUUUCGGAUUAGACUCAGUUGGGUUGGUCCCCUGGCUUAAUUGUGGGGCUUGGAAACGUCGUGUCGCCCAAUCCUGCCAACACACGCCUUUGUGUGUUCCUACUCGAGUGGCAACAAGGGUUGAACGAACGUGUACGGGUAAAUUGGCACACCCUGCAGGGAUAAAUCUUUCGGAAAGCCGUGUCUUGAUCAUAGAGAACUCAAUCAAUUUAAUUAACUUAAUCUCUUAAACUUGAGUAGUAAUUAGCCUUUAAUCAUGGAUAUGCCUAAAACUGCUUAAGUGUGAGUGCCUUUGGAUCAUUUCCUCACAAGGGGUUGAGGGGGUGAUAAGAGGUUGUGUUUUGUUUGAUGUUAGUUGUUAGAAGAUCACCUCACUUGGUAGACGCUCCUUAUCCUCCAAUUAGACGUUGUCAUUAGUGUGUCUCUCCAGAUAUAUCGCUGCUGCAUGACCCCACCAUUUUACCCAUCCUUUGAGACUUUUGCAUAUCUAAUUUAGAUCUCCCGUAAGUCUUGCGAGUACCUUGUACUCAGUUGUUGUGCAACGUUGUUUUCUCUAGAGUUUCCGGAGGAACAGGUGAGUGGUUACUUCGUGGAGUUCGACGACGACAGCUUCGACGCUUAGCCAGAAGAUUCCAGAGCAGGGUUCUGUGAACUUGUGGCGGGCUCUUCUUUUCAGUUUCAGCCUCUUAGGCAAUAAUUGUAACUUGUCCGUACUCGGGCCUAAUUUGCUUCCUCUGAUGUAAUGAUGAUUGUGGAUAUGUGUCCGUGAGUUGUCAUAACUUGGUAUUUUUGCUCCAUGUAUGAGCUUGAUUUAACUCUUGUGUCUUAGAGCGAUGUAAUGAUAUCAUUGUUGUUCCAACCUGCGGUGAACACAUUGCGUGUAUGUUGUGAAGUGUUCAUCGUAGGGAGGCACUGGGACUUGAUUUAUGCGCG
rnacentral:lncRNA from 1 species